CAGCCCCAGCGCACGUCGCCCUCCGCUCCCCCAUGGAGCCCCCCGCCGCCUCAGCAGCCCCGUGGCGGACGCCCCAUGGCAGAGCCGCCCCCGAGGAGAAGGAGCCCGCAGCCCUCUGCCCGCAACGCACCGCACUGCACCAAGCGCCGCGCAACGGCUGCCACCACCGCGGGGGCUCCUGGUGUGAGCGGCAAGCGGUGGCAAGGGGGGGCUGCGCUUCCUGAGUCAAGCUGCUGGACACCGGCUUGCCUGGGCAAUUGCCCAUGUUGCUGAGGAGGCAACAGAGCCAAAGCCCUUCGGGCUGAAGAUCCAGCACAGCUGGGGAGGCUUUGGCAUUUCUGCACAAUGCUGCUCAAUCCUGCUUGGGAGCCCAGCCUCAGGUGCGGAAUGAAGCCAAGCAAGCUCGAGGGAAACUGUGUGCUGGUAAGUUGUCAGUUCUUGCUUUCUUUUUCAUUCCUCACGCCUAAGAAAACCUAACUCUUUCAAGCACCUGUUUGAAGACACGGUUUGAUGGACUUGAUUCUGGGUGUGCUCCUUAAGCUUGUUCGGCAGCUGUUGAACCCCGCUACACUUGCAGGAGACCUAUGCUCGAGUUGAUGCUUGCUGUGAUCAAGCGGUGUUCUUUUGCUCUUCUUUGCUUUGGGGAUGGUGGGUGAGGUUGCAAAGAGUUUUCAGGAGGAUUCUUCUUUUCCUUUGCAGAAUCCCAGACUGCGUAUUAGAGCUGCUCUUCAUCUCUGCUCGGAAAAGCUUCACGGGCCAAAAGAGAAUGGAGAUGAGGAAGGCAAUGGAGAAUGAUGAGGACUAUUUGCAGUCAGCACCCCAACUUCUGCCUUGGCUCUUCCCAUCAAGCCAGAGCAGUUUCUUGGCCUGCGCAACCUGCAGACUGACCUCUCGUGUGUAUCCGUGCUGGACUGAGGAAACCACUUGGCUAGACAAACUCAAUCAUUGCAAAUGGAAGGAGUGGAACUGCUUCAGCACCGUGCUUCGGCUUCUAAGCAGAACUGUAAUGUAGGUGGGGACGUAGCAAGAGGACAUGGCCAAGCCAGGGUGGACUUGAAAGUGCCGUGUCCGAGCCACAGCAAGAAGUCCGUGAUUGCCACUUGGAGACUGCUGCUCACCUAGUAGCACAGCAGCUGGAACGCUUCUGGAUACUGCUGAUGGAUUGCCACGAAUCAGGCAGUGACACAAGCUACGAGAACGACGGAAGUGACUGGAAGUGAUGCUUCUCCCUGUUCUCCAUUGCAAUUUGUGAAAGAAAGGAGAAGAGAGGAGAAGAAGAAAGGAGAAGACGGGAGGGAAGGGGAGGGAAUGAAGAGAACGGG